UUGCUUCAUUGCAUCUCACAGUGAUUCCUCCAGGAUCAGCUUUUUUUCUCUGGAGAGUAAAAGUCUGUGUCGUCUUCCUCUGCCCCUACAAAGAGAUGAUUAAACCAGAGGUCGUGCACUUGGUGGCAUUGUUUCUGGGCUCCAGUGGAAAGGGAGAGGAGCAGUCGAGUGUAUUAGGUGGCAUGAAAGAGAAUAGGAGCUCUCAUCGGAGUCCCCGUGUAAAUGUUUGACCGGGUUUGCUGUCUCCUACCAGGGCUGGAACAUGGGAACACCACCUGCACAGUGACCUCUGCCGAGGCUGGAGCUCUCCCGUCACACUUUCCCAGCAGGUCAGGUGGCUUCAUCUCCACUCCUGCGCUGGCCCUUCAUUCUGCAGAUGGCAAAAGGUGCCUCUCUCCUUGGGGAGGUCCCAUCAUGAGAUUCACAAUCUGUGUUGUAUGCUGGUCAAACUAACAGUUGUGCCUGAACAGGACUUCCCACAUUGAAGGCUCUGAGGCACUCUAGAAAAGCUCACCUGCUCUACAGUGCGUGUCCGAGGCAAGACCGGCCGUGCUAGAUUUCCUCCAACACCACCGAUCUCGGUCCUGAACACCGCCUCACCAAGAGGGAGGAAGACCUGUUCCAGGAGAAGAUUGCAGUGUGUGCACCAAACUCUGGAAAUCAGCCCACGGGCUGGCAUAGCCCCACACUGUCAUAUGGGAUUACUUAGCUCUGGCGUCUAGAGCUACAGUCUCUUCCUUUCCUUGGGCUUCGGCUACAGACUCCUGCACAACUCCACAGCCCCUUUGCCAAUGCCGUGGUGCUGCAGGUAACUCGAACCGUGGCCAUGACUGCUUGCUCCUUAAUAAGGCAGUGGUGUGCUCUCCUUUGGCAUCAUAUGAGCUCAAAGCGCACAUCUCAACUUGGAGUCCUUCAGCUGGGCCCACUGAUGUGCAUAUAGAAAUCACACUGGCAGGACACAGACUAUGUUAGAGCCACCGUUAAAUCAGCUAGUUCACACUCCCCUGCAUGAUUGCUUAGAUGUACAGAUAGCGCUAUGUUGUUGAGCUGGCAGUGGAGGCUUUGCAGUAUGUACCACUGUGCUGGUAAGGGAGGAAGCUGAGCUCUUGACUUGCAGUAGCCAGAAGUUUCGCAACUUCUAGCCCACCCUACCCCCAUCCUGGCAACCCCCCCGCCUCCCAAUUGCUCAUCAGCAAUGAAAUGCAUGGGCUUUGUUAUCUGGCAGGUGCCCCAACCACCAUGUUGAACCAGCAAGGCGCUGCCAACCACAGCACUUCCAGCUGAGGGGGUGGCUUUCAGCAAGCUACCGCAUUUCCAUUGCCCAACGUUUGCCAAAAGAGGCUAGACAGACACCCUACCUCCCACCCCCCUCUCCAGCCAUUGCUCACAGCAGUAUGAGCACUCGGGAUCUGUGCGGCCCAUGGAGCUGACAGCACACUUCCUGCAGCACCUGGGUCCUGCAGACUGCUGAGGGAAGGACUUGGUGCCCCAGUGUUUGUGCGCAAUGCCUCUGAUUCAUGGGUGCGUGGAGGCUGUUUCACUUCACUUGACCUUUUUUGCUCCCUGUGUGGGUAGCAUCUUGCCUGAAUGCCGUUGCUGCUGGGUAGUGACUCAUUGCUCAGCAGGGAGGGUGCCGGGAAGUGCGAUAGCAGAGGAUCAGGCACAGGAAAGACACCCCCAAUUCACACCCAGUACCAGAAGCCACAGUGUGGCAUGGCUUUGACACAUUCUCACUUCCUGUUGGGCUUUGCUAUACUAAAAAUACACCCACGGUAGUGGUGACAUUCAAGUGAAAUGCUCAAGUGUGCUGUUUAGGGGGAAGAGCACAUUAUGGUGUCAGCAGGAAAGGCUCAGACUUGUGGCACAGGCAACGGUGGGCUUUGAGUUGGAGCAACAGUGGCAUAAGGGGAAACGCUUUUGUGUGCCCUCUCUCACGCAGAGACGGAUGCUGUCAGCUGGGCUGAGUGUUUCAGUCUGUGUGCAGUGUAAAUUUGCUUGUGGGCAAUCUCUCUUUUCCUACUCUGACUUGCUGGGGACUUUAUUGCAAGCUAAGGCCUGUGGCUUACAAAGCUUCAAUGCCAAGCAGGGUCCCAUCCAGCUCGCCUACCGGUGAGCCACUCUUCUGCCACUCCCCAACUUUCCCACGCCUGCUGUUGGACAGUAGCUGCCUCAGGCAGCGGCAACACUCCCUCGCUUGGCUGACAGGCUGCAAACCUGCU